rnacentral:snoRNA from 1 species
AUGUCAAGAUUGGGGCACUUCCUCAAUAAGUUCUUAUACCUUUCCCAUGCCUCCAGAUAGCUCUCAAGGUCUUUCUGCUUAAAGGUAUGGAUUUCAUUCUGAAUUU